AGCCUGUGAUGACAAAAUUCACUUUUCUGACACCUCGUAUGAGAGCUGCACUGUGGCUCCUGAUUCUACUGCUUUAUCUGAGGCUC
ensembl:snoRNA small nucleolar RNA SNORD60